rnacentral:lncRNA from 14 species
UCAGUUUAGUGAGUGCUUACGUCCUGCAUAAUGUACUCAUUGACAAUAAAUACAUUGUAUUCUACUCUGGCAGCAAUACCGAGCUUAUGUGGCCUUCCCAGACUUUUUCCGUAAUUCAACUGCCCUCUGGUGGAAGAAUGAGAUUAAAGAACUCCACAGCAACUCACAGGAUCCUGCAAAGAGCUUGAAGUUUGAUGGCCUGUGGAUUGACAUGAAUGAACCUUCCAGCUUUGUGAAUGGGGCAGUUCCUUCCGGCUGCACUGACACUACUCUGAACCGUCCUCCCUACAUGCCACAUUUGGAAGCCAGGGACAGGGGCCUGAGCAGCAAGACCCUGUGCAUGGAGAGUGAGCACAUCCUUCCAGAUGGCUCCCGGGUGCGGCACUAUGAUGUACACAGCCUGUAUGGGUGGUCCCAGACCAGACCCACCUAUGAAGCAGUGCAGGAGGUGACAGGAGAGAGAGGGAUCGUCAUCACCCGCUCCACAUUCCCCUCUUCUGGACGCUGGGGAGGACACUGGCUGGGAGACAACACAGCUGCCUGGGACCAGCUGGGGAAAUCCAUCAUUGGUGUGUAG